AUUGAACGCUAGCGGGAUGCCUUACACAUGCAAGUCGAACGGCGUGUCGAACGGGUGCUUGCUGUAUCGUAACUUGCCCAUUAGCGGGGUAUAACUACGCGAAAGCGUAGCUAAUACCGCAUACUAUUGGAGCGCCCUAUAUCGGAUUAGCUAGUUGGUGGGGUAACGGCUCACCAAGGCGACGAUCCGUAGCUGGUUUGAGAGGACGACCAGCCACACUGGGACUGAGACACGGCCCAGACUCCUACGGGAGGCAGCAGUGGGGAAUUUUGGACAAUGGGGGAAACCCUGAUCCAGCCAUCCCGCGUGUGCGAGGAAGGCUUGCGGGUUGUAAAGCACUUUUGGUAGGAAAGCGGUACCUGCAGAAUAAGCACCGGCUAACUACGUGCCAGCAGCCGCGGUAAUAC
rnacentral:rRNA from 1 species